AACGAACGCUGGCGGCGCGCCUAAUACAUGCAAGUCGAGCGAGAAGACGUAGCAAUACGUUUGUAAAGCGGCGAACGGGUGAGGAAUACAUGGGUAACCUACCCUCGAGUGGGGAAUAACUAGCCGAAAGGUUAGCUAAUACCGCGUACGCUCCUUGGACUUCGGUUCAGGGAGGAAAGCGAUACCGUGGGUAUCGCGCUCUUGGAUGGGCUCAUGUCCUAUCAGCUUGUUGGUGAGGUAACGGCUCACCAAGGCUUCGACGGGUAGCUGGUCUGAGAGGACAAUCAGCCACACUGGCACUGCGACACGGGCCAGACUCCUACGGGAGGCAGCAGUAAGGAAUAUUGCGCAAUGGGCGAAAGCCUGACGCAGCGACGCCGCGUGGGGGAUGAAGGUCUUCGGAUUGUAAACCCCUUUCGGGAGGGAAGAUGGAACGAGCAAUCGUUCGGACGGUACCUCCAGAAGCAGCCACGGCUAACUUCGUGCCAGCCGCCGCCGU
rnacentral:rRNA from 1 species